rnacentral:rRNA from 1 species
GUUUAAAGGGUCCGCCGGCGGUUGUUUAAGUCAGAGGUGAAAGUUUGCAGCUCAACUGUAAAAUUGCCUUUGAUACUGAAUAACUUGAGUUAUAAUGAAGUGGUUAGAAUAUGUAGUGUAGCGGUGAAAUGCAUAGAUAUUACAUAGAAUACCGAUUGCGAAGGCAGAUCACUAAUUAUAUACUGACGCUGAGGGACGAAAGCGUGGGGAGCGAACAGGAUCAGAUACCCUGGUAGUCCACGCCGUAAACGAUGGUUACUAGCUGUUUGGACUUCGGUGUGAGUGGCUAAGCGAAAGUGAUAAGUAACCCACCUGGGGAGUACGAUCGCAAGAUUGAAACUCAAAGGAAUUGACGGGGGCCCGCACAAGCGGUGGAGCAUGUGGUUUAAUUCGAUGAUACGCGAGGAACCUUACCAGGGCUUAAAUGUAGUGUGACAGGGGCAGAGACGCCUUUUUCUUCGGACACACUACAAGGUGCUGCAUGGUUGUCGUCAGCUCGUGCCGUGAGGUGUCAGGUUAAGUCCUAUAACGAGCGCAACCCCUGUUGUUAGUUACCAGCACAUUAUGGUGGGGACUCUAACAAGACUGCCGGUGCAAACCGUGAGGAAGGUGGGGAUGACGUCAAAUCAUCACGGCCCUUACGUCCUGGGCUACACACGUGCUACAAUGGUAGGUACAGAGAGCAGCCACUACGCAAGUAGGAGCGAAUCUAUAAAACCUAUCUCAGUUCGGAUCGGAGUCUGCAACUAGACUCCGUGAAGCUGGAAUCGCUAGUAAUCGGAUAUCAGCCAUGAUCCGGUGAAUACGUUCCCGGGCCUUGUACACACCGCCCGUCAAGCCAUGGAAGCUGGGGGUACCUG